rnacentral:rRNA from 1 species
CCUACGGGAGGCAGCAGUGAGGAAUAUUGGUCAAUGGACGCAACUCUGAACCAGCCACGCCGCGUGCAGGAAGAAGGCCCUCGGGUUGUAAACUUCUUUUCUUCGGGACGAAACAAAUGACGGUACCGAAUGAAUAAGCCACGGCUAACUACGUGCCAGCAGCCGCGGUAAUACGUAGGUGGCAAGCGUUAUCCGGAUUUACUGGGUGUAAAGGGCGUGUAGGCGGUAGGGCAAGUCAGAAGUGAAAUUCCAGGGCUCAACCUUGGAACUGGGUGUGAAACUGUUCGGCUUGAGUGAUGGAGAGGCAGGCGGAAUUCCGGGUGUAGCGGUGAAAUGCGUAGAUAUACGGAGGAACACCAGUGGCGAAGGCGGCCUGCUGGACAUUAACUGACGCUGAGGCGCGAAAGCGUGGGGAGCAAACAGGAUUAGAUACCCCUGUAGUC